UACGAAGGGUGCAACGUUGCUCGGAAUUAUUGGGCGUAAAGCGCACGUAGGCGGCUUGGCAAGUCGGAUGUGAAAUCCCUCGGCUCAACCAAGGAAGUGCAUCCGAAACUGCUGAGCUUGAGUACUUAAGAGGAUGCGGAAUUCCGGUGUAGAGGUGAAAUUCGUAGAUAUCGGGAAGGAACACCAGUGGCGAAGGGCGGCGAUCUGGGAAGAUACUGACGCUGAGGUGCGAAAGCGUGGGGAGCAAACAGGG
rnacentral:rRNA from 1 species